rnacentral:rRNA from 1 species
UUUAAAGAGAGUUUGAUCCUGGCUCAGGACGAACGCUGGCGGCGUGCCUAAUACAUGCAAGUCGAACGAACGGAGGAAGAGCUUGCUCUUCCAAAGUUAGUGGCGGACGGGUGAGUAACACGUGGGCAACCUGCCUGUAAGUUGGGGAUAACUCCGGGAAACCGGGGCUAAUACCGAAUGAUAAAGUGUGGCGCAUGCCACGCUUUUGAAAGAUGGUUUCGGCUAUCGCUUACAGAUGGGCCCGCGGUGCAUUAGCUAGUUGGUAGGGUAAUGGCCUACCAAGGCAACGAUGCAUAGCCGACCUGAGAGGGUGAUCGGCCACACUGGGACUGAGACACGGCCCAGACUCCUACGGGAGGCAGCAGUAGGGAAUCUUCCGCAAUGGACGAAAGUCUGACGGAGCAACGCCGCGUGUAUGAAGAAGGUUUUCGGAUCGUAAAGUACUGUUGUUAGAGAAGAACAAGGAUAAGAGUAACUGCUUGUCCCUUGACGGUAUCUAACCAGAAAGCCACGGCUAACUACGUGCCAGCAGCCGCGGUAAUACGUAGGUGGCAA